rnacentral:rRNA from 1 species
GGAAUUUUGGACAAUGGGGGAAACCCUGAUCCAGCGACGCCGCGUGGGUGAAGAAGGCCUGCGGGGUGUAAAGCCCUUUCGGUGGGGAAGAAAAGCCUCGACCUAAUACGUCUGGGUCUUGACGUCACCCACACAAGAAGCACCGGCUAACUCUGUGCCAGCAGCCGAGGUAAUACAGAGGGUGCGAGCGUUAAUCGGAAUUACUGGGCGUAAAGCGCACGUAGGCGGCUUUGCAAGUCGGGUGUGAAAUCCCCGGGCUCAACCUGGGAACUGCAUUCGAUACUGCAUUGCUCGAGUAUGGGAGAGGGAAGUGGAAUUUCCGGUGUAGCGGUGAAAUGCGUAGAUAUCGGAAGGAACACCAGUGGCGAAAGCGACUUCCUGGACCAAUACUGACGCUCAGGUGCGAAAGCGUGGGGAGCAAAC